rnacentral:rRNA from 1 species
UCAGGCCUAACACAUGCAAGUCGAACGGCAGCACGGACUUCGGUCUGGUGGCGAGUGGCGAACGGGUGAGUAAUGUAUCGGAACGUGCCUAGUAGCGGGGGAUAACUACUCGAAAGAGUAGCUAAUACCGCAUACGCCCUACGGGGGAAAGGGGGGGAUCGCAAGACCUCUCACUAUUAGAGCGGCCGAUAUCGGAUUAGCUAGUUGGUGAGGUAAAGGCUCACCAAGGCGACGAUCCGUAGCUGGUUUGAGAGGACGACCAGCCACACUGGGACUGAGACACGGCCCAGACUCCUACGGGAGGCAGCAGUGGGGAAUUUUGGACAAUGGGGGCAACCCUGAUCCAGCCAUUCCGCGUGUGCGAUGAAGGCCUUCGGGUUGUAAAGCACUUUUGGCAGGAAAGAAAUCGCACGGGUUAAUAACCCGUGUGGAUGAC